GAGCGGUAUUGUUUCUUCGGAAACGAGAGAGCGGCGCACGGGUGCGGAACACGUGUGCAACCUGCCUUUAUCUGGGGGAUAGCCUUUCGAAAGGAAGAUUAAUACCCCAUAAUAUUUUGAAUGGCAUCAUUUAAAAUUGAAAACUCCGGUGGAUAGAGAUGGGCACACGCAAGAUUAGAUAGUUGGUAGGGUAACGGCCUACCAAGUCAGUGAUCUUUAGGGGGCCUGAGAGGGUGAUCCCCCACACUGGUACUGAGACACGGACCAGACUCCUACGGGAGGCAGCAGUGAGGAAUAUUGGACAAUGGGUGAGAGCCUGAUCCAGCCAUCCCGCGUGAAGGACGACGGCCCUAUGGGUUGUAAACUUCUUUUGUACAGGGAUAAACCUUUCCACGUGUGGAAAGCUGAAGGUACUGUACGAAUAAGCACCGGCUAACUCCGUG
rnacentral:rRNA from 1 species